rnacentral:lncRNA from 1 species
GACAUAGAGGAGGUGAGCCAGGGGCUGCUCAGCCUGCUGGGCGCCAACCGCGCGGAGGCGCAGCAGCGACGGCUGCUGGGGCGCCACGAGCAGGUGGUGGAGCGGCUGCUGGAAACGCAAGACGGUGCCGAGAAGCAGCUGCGAGGUACGUGGCUCAACUUUACCACCAAGUUAGUAAAAUUGAGUGGGAUUAUGAGUGUGAGCCAGGGAUGGUCAAAGGCAUCCAUCAUGGCCCCAGUGUGGCCCAGCCCAUCCACCUGGACAGCACCCAGCUCUCCAGGAAAUUCAUCAGCGACUACCUCUGGAGUCUGGUGGACACCGAGUGGUAGCCAGGAGCCUCGUGGCUGCGUCUUGCACCCAGCGGGCAUCUGCCGUGGU